GACGAACGCUGGCGGCGUGCUUAACACAUGCAAGUCGAACGGAAAGGCCCUGCUUUUGUGGGGUGCUCGAGUGGCGAACGGGUGAGUAACACGUGAGUAACCUGCCCUUGACUUUGGGAUAACUUCAGGAAACUGGGGCUAAUACCGGAUAGGAGCUCCUGCUGCAUGGUGGGGGUUGGAAAGUUUCGGCGGUUGGGGAUGGACUCGCGGCUUAUCAGCUUGUUGGUGGGGUAGUGGCUUACCAAGGCUUUGACGGGUAGCCGGCCUGGGAGGGUGACCGGCCACAUUGGGACUGAGAUACGGACCAGACUCCUACGGGCGGCAGCAGUGGGGAAUAUUGCACAAUGGGCGGAAGCCUGAUGCAGCAACGCCGCGUGCGGGAUGACGGCCUUCGGGUUGUAAACCGCUUUCGCCUGUGACGAAGCGUGAGUGACGGUAAUGGGUAAAGAAGCACCGGCUAACUACGUG
rnacentral:rRNA from 1 species